rnacentral:rRNA from 1 species
GGCUCAGGAUGAACGCUGGCGGCGUGCCUAAUACAUGCAAGUCGAACGCUUUGUGGUUCAACUGAUUUGAAGAGCUUGCUCAGAUAUGACGAUGGACAUUGCGAAGAGUGGCGAACGGGUGAGUAACACGUGGGAAACCUACCUCUUAGCAGGGGAUAACAUUUGGAAACAGAUGCUAAUACCGUAUAACAAUGACAACCGCAUGGUUGUUAUUUAAAAGAUGGUUCUGCUAUCACUAAGAGAUGGUCCCGCGGUGCAUUAGCUAGUUGGUAAGGUAAUGGCUUACCAAGGCGAUGAUGCAUAGCCGAGUUGAGAGACUGAUCGGCCACAAUGGGACUGAGACACGGCCCAUACUCCUACGGGAGGCAGCAGUAGGGAAUCUUCCACAAUGGGCGAAAGCCUGAUGGAGCAACGCCGCGUGUGUGAUGAAGGGUUUCGGCUCGUAAAACACUGUUGUAAGAGAAGAAUGACAUUGAGAGUAACUGUUCAAUGUGUGACGGUAUCUUACCAGAAAGGAACGGCUAAAUACGUGCCAGCAGCCGCGGUAAUACGUAUGUUCCAAGCGUUAUCCGGAUUUAUUGGGCGUAAAGCGAGCGCAGACGGUUAUUUAAGUCUGAAGUGAAAGCCCUCAGCUCAACUGAGGAAUUGCUUUGGAAACUGGAUGACUUGAGUGCAGUAGAGGAAAGUGGAACUCCAUGUGUAGCGGUGAAAUGCGUAGAUAUAUGGAAGAACACCAGUGGCGAAGGCGGCUUUCUGGACUGUAACUGACGUUGAGGCUCGAAAGUGUGGGUAGCAAACAGGAUUAGAUACCCUGGUAGUCCACACCGUAAACGAUGAGUGCUAGGUGUUUGAGGGUUUCCGCCCUUAAGUGCCGCAGCUAACGCAUUAAGCACUCCGCCUGGGGAGUACGACCGCAAGGUUGAAACUCAAAGGAAUUGACGGGGACCCGCACAAGCGGUGGAGCAUGUGGUUUAAUUCGAAGCAACGCGAAGAACCUUACCAGGUCUUGACAUCCCUUGACAACUCCAGAGAUGGAGCGUUCCCUUCGGGGACAAGGUGACAGGUGGUGCAUGGUUGUCGUCAGCUCGUGUCGUGAGAUGUUGGGUUAAGUCCCGCAACGAGCGCAACCCUUAUUACUAGUUGCCAGCAUUCAGUUGGGCACUCUAGUGAGACUGCCGGUGACAAACCGGAGGAAGGUGGGGAUGACGUCAAAUCAUCAUGCCCCUUAUGACCUGGGCUACACACGUGCUACAAUGGCGUAUACAACGAGUUGCCAACCCGCGAGGGUGAGCUAAUCUCUUAAAGUACGUCUCAGUUCGGAUUGUAGGCUGCAACUCGCCUACAUGAAGUCGGAAUCGCUAGUAAUCGCGGAUCAGCACGCCGCGGUGAAUACGUUCCCGGGUCUUGUACACACCGCCCGUCACACCAUGAGAGUUUGUAACACCCAAAGCCGGUGGGGUAACCUUCGGGAGCCAGCCGUCUAAGGUGGGACAGAUGAUUAGGGUG